rnacentral:tRNA from 1 species
GGGCGCUUAGCUCAGCUGGUUAGAGUGCAUGCUCGACACGCAUGAGGUCACUGGUUCGAUCCCAGUAGCGCCCA